GAUGAACGCUGGCGGCGUGCCUAAUACAUGCAAGUCGAGCGAACAGACGAGGAGCUUGCUCCACUGACGUUAGCGGCGGACGGGUGAGUAACACGUGGAUAACCUACCUAUAAGACUGGGAUAACUUCGGGAAAACGGAGCUAAUACCGGAUAAUAUAUUGAACCGCAUGGUUCAUUAGUGAAAGACGGUUUUGCUGUUACUUAUAGAUGGAUCCGUGCCGCUUUAGCUAGUUGGUAAGGUAACGGCUUACCAAGGCAACGAUCCGUAGCCGAUAUGAGAGGGUGAGCUGCCUAAGCGGAACUGAGACACGGCCCAGACUCCUACGGAAGGCAGCAGCGGGGACUCUUCGUCAAUGGGCGAAAUCCUGAUGAAGCAACGCCGCGUGAGUGAUAAAGUUCUUCGGUUCUUAAAACCUUUUUAUUAGGGAAAAACAGAUGUGUAGUUAAUGAUACACGUCUUGAGGGUACCGAAUAAGAAAGCCACGGCUAACUACGUG
rnacentral:rRNA from 1 species